GACGAACGCUGGCGGCGUGCCUAAUACAUGCAAGUCGAGCGCAGGAAACUGACGGAACUCUUCGGAGGGAAGGCAGUGGAAUGAGCGGCGGACGGGUGAGUAACACGUAAGGAACCUGCCUCAAGGAUUGGGAUAACUCCGAGAAAUCGGAGCUAAUACCGGAUAGUUCAACGGACCGCAUGGUCCGCGGAUGAAAGGCGCUUCGGCGUCACCUUGAGAUGGCCUUGCGGGUCAUUAGCUAGUUGGUGGGGUAACGGCCCACCAAGGCGACGAUGCAUAGCCGACCUGAGAGGGUGGUCGGCCACACUGGGACUGAGACACGGCCCAGACUCCUACGGGAGGCAGCAGUAGGGAAUCUUCCACAAUGGACGAAAGUCUGAUGGAGCAACGCCGCGUGAGUGAUGAAGGUUUUCGGAUCGUAAAACUCUGUUGUAAGGGAAGAACACGUACGAGAGGAAAUGCUCGUACCUUGACGGUACCUUACGAGAAAGCCACGGCUAACUACGUGCCAGCCGCCGCAGUAAGAC
rnacentral:rRNA from 1 species